rnacentral:lncRNA from 1 species
GAAAGAAAUACAUCAGUGCGUGUGUGUGCGUGUGUGUGUGUGUGUGUGUGUGUGUGUGUGUGUGUGUGCACGUUCCCACACAGCUGUACCACCACUAACCACACAGCAGGGGCAAGAAAAAGCAAAUAGCACCGCACACAGGAUUGGGAAGAGUAACCCCCUUCCUCCUGCAACAUUGCCCUGGUUCCCCCUACUGGCAAGCCUUCAUAUUGGGCUCACUGUCAGGCAGAAAACGCUUACAGCAAACGCUUACAGCACAUCACCCCAGAGAAGGUACUGUAGGGUGAACUUGGAGCUAUGAGGCAAUACAUUGAUGACUGGCCCAAGCUGUUAUCAGUCAUUAGGACAGGGGUUGGCAAAGUGUUUCUGCACAGAGCCCGAUAGUAAAUACGUCAAGCUUUGUUGAGUCAGACAGUGUCUGUCCAAACUACUCAAGUCAGCCAUUGUGGUGCAAAAGC